UAAUCUUUUCAAAAAAGUUUA
rnacentral:piRNA from 1 species